rnacentral:rRNA from 1 species
UACGAAGGGGGCUAGCGUUGCUCGGAAUCACUGGGCGUAAAGGGUGCGUAGGCGGGUUUUUAAGUCAGAGGUGAAAUCCUGGAGCUCAACUCCAGAACUGCCUUUGAUACUGAAGAUCUUGAGUUCGGGAGAGGUGAGUGGAACUGCGAGUGUAGAGGUGAAAUUCGUAGAUAUUCGCAAGAACACCAGUGGCGAAGGCGGCUCACUGGCCCGAUACUGACGCUGAGGCACGAAAGCGUGGGAGCAAACAG